UUAGAUUUUAUUUAUUAAUUUUAUUUAUUUUAAUUGAAAAUAUUAAAAAUAAUUUUAUAAUAAAAAGUUUUAGUAUUGUUUAAAGAAAAAAUAAAUUUAAUAAUAGUUUAAUAGUAUUGUAAAAGAAAAUUGAAAUAAUUUGAAAAAUUUUUAUUAUAAAAGAAAAUUUAAUUUAUUGUACCUUGUGUAUCAGUGUUUAUUAAAUAAAAAAUAUUGAAAAUAUUUUUCUCGAUUUUAAAAGAGUUAAUAUAAUAUGUAAGUUAAUGUAGUAAAAUUAUUUAUAAUAUUAUAUUAGAAAUGAAAUGUUAUUCGUUUUUAAAGGUAUCUAGUUUUUCAAGAAAUGAAUUUAAUUCAGAAUUUAUAGAUUUAUUUAAUAAUUUUUUUAAUUAAAUGAUUUAUAAACUUAAUAUUUUAUGGGAUAAGCUAUAAAAUAAAGUUUUAUAAAUAAUAAAUAAAUUUAAUAAAUAUAUGCUUAGAAUUAGCAAUUGUUUAAAAUUAUGUUAUAAUUUAUUUUAUAAAAUAAAUUAUUUAUUAUAUUUUAAUUAUUUAUUGAAAUAUUAAUUUUAAUUUUUUAAAUUAAAUAAUAAUGAUAAAAUUAGUAUAUUUUAUUGUAAGUAUAAAUUUAAAUGAAAAGAUUAUAUAAAG
rnacentral:rRNA from 1 species